AGAAUCAACGCUGGCGGCGUGCCUCAGACAUGCAAGUCGAACGCGAAAGUUCCCUUCGGGGGGCAAGUAGAGUGGCGCACGGGUGAGUAACACGUAGGUAAUCUACCUUUGGAUGGGGAAUAACAACCGGAAACGGUUGCUAAUACCGCAUAAUGCAGCGGCACCUAAUGGUGACAGUUGUUAAAGCGGGGGAUCGAAAGACCUCGCGUCUGAAGAGGAGCCUGCGGCGGAUUAGCUAGUUGGUAGGGUAACGGCCUACCAAGGCUACGAUCCGUA
rnacentral:rRNA from 1 species